ensembl:lncRNA
CAUCAAUUCCCCUAUAACUGGUAAUCUUUCUUCUGCCUUGAGCUGGGCCAAGUACAGACUUUGUAGGUCUGUAGGGUGCAGCCCAACACAGAGCAUGAUUGGCUAGGCUAGGAGGUCAAGCAUUUCCUCAAAAUUCUUGCUAGCAGUUUUUAGGUUCUGGGGCCUGUCUCAAGUGUGAAAUAAUAAAUUUAAAAGUUAAAAGGCCUCCGUGGUGCAAGGGCUAGCAGUUGUCUCUGAUGAGAAGACUCUUGACAAUGGCAGCAGAGGACAACCCUCAAUACAAACAUUGUUUGGAGGCUGCUUGAGGAAUCAUGUGACAGUGAAAAGCAUGC